AACUUUCAACAACGGAUCUCUUGGUUCUGGCAUCGAUGAAGAACGCAGCGAAAUGCGAUAAGUAAUGUGAAUUGCAGAAUUCAGUGAAUCAUCGAAUCUUUGAACGCACAUUGCGCCCCCUGGUAUUCCGGGGG
rnacentral:rRNA from 1 species